GACGAACGCUGGCGGCGUGCCUAAUACAUGCAAGUAGAACGCUGAAGAGAGGAGCUUGCUCUUCUUGGAUGAGUUGCGAACGGGUGAGUAACGCGUAGGUAACCUGCCUGGUAGCGGGGGAUAACUAUUGGAAACGAUAGCUAAUACCGCAUAAAAUUGAUUAUUGCAUGAUAAUUAAUUGAAAGAUGCAACUGCAUCACUACCAGAUGGACCUGCGUUGUAUUAGCUAGUUGGUGAGGUAACGGCUCACCAAGGCGACGAUACAUAGCCGACCUGAGAGGGUGGUCGGCCACACUGGGACUGAGACACGGCCCAGACUCCUACGGGAGGCAGCAGUAGGGCAUCUUCGGCAAUGGGGGGAAACCUGACCGAGCAACGCCGCGUGAGUGAAGAAGGUUUUCGGAUCGUAAAGCUCUGUUGUAAGAGAAGAACGGGUGUGAGAGUGGAAAGUUCACACUGUGACGGUAUCUUACCAGAAAGCGACGGCUAACUACGUG
rnacentral:rRNA from 1 species